GACUCCUACGGGAGGCAGCAGUAGGGAAUCUUCCGCAAUGGGCGAAAGCCUGACGGAGCAACGCCGCGUGAGUGAUGAAGGUCUUCGGAUCGUAAAGCUCUGUUAUUAGGGAAGAACAUAUGUGUAAGUAACUGUGCACAUCUUGACGGUACCUAAUCAGAAAGCCACGGCUAACUACGUGCCAGCAGCCGCGGUAAUACGUAGGUGGCAAGCGUUAUCCGGAAUUAUUGGGCGUAAAGCGCGCGUAGGCGGUUUUUUAAGUCUGAUGUGAAAGCCCACGGCUCAACCGUGGAGGGUCAUUGGAAACUGGAAAACUUGAGUGC
rnacentral:rRNA from 1 species